GGCUCUGUGGGGUAGUUGGUUAUCCCUGUGGAUUCUGACCAGCUGAACUUCCACCGACCCCGGUUCGAGUCCGGGCAGAGCCU